rnacentral:sRNA from 2 species
AUAACAGCAAAAUCUGUUAUCUGGAUUGGCGUCCAGCAAACUAAGAGAGCCCGAAAGACGCGCUCAGCGUCUUUUUU